rnacentral:sRNA from 1 species
CGAGCUAACUGAGGGCAACCUCCUGAAGAACCUCAAGCACCGCUUCCUGCAACAAAAGAUCUACACGUACGCGGGGAGCAUCCUGGUGGCCAUCAACCCCUUUAAGUUCCUACCCAUCUACAACCCCAAGUACGUGAAGAUGUAUGAGAACCAGCAGCUGGGCAAGCUGGAGCCACACGUCUUCGCGCUGGCCGACGUGGCCUACUACACCAUGCUCAGGAAGCGCGUGAACCAGUGCAUCGUGAUCUCGGGUGAGAGCGGCUCCGGCAAGACCCAGAGCACCAACUUCCUCAUCCACUGCCUCACUGCCCUCAGCCAGAAGGGCUAUGCCAGCGGCGUCGAGAGGACCAUCCUGGGUGCUGGCCCUGUGCUGGAGGUACUGCGAGGCCAACUGGUCAGGAUGCAACCGCGUCUUGGAAAGAGAAUUUGUUACUCACAGUUCCCGAAAGAAGAGGAUGCAAUGCCAUGGAAGGCCACAGGGGGAAGCACUGGGACACCUCAGGAGGCUGAGGGAGAGAGGGAAAAAGGGAGCGGGGAGAGGCAGGAGACUUUAUUGUGAUUUUCAUGCAUCGGAAUGUUCUAGGCAGAGUAAGCUGGCUUAGGAUUGGCUUGUUUGAAUUAUUUCAGUGGGCUCUGGGGCAUAGGGGCUGCCCCUUAUCGUCAGGUGCCAGAGUCUGGGGUGAUGAGGGCAGGGGAUAGUGGGCUGGAGUGUGAGAGCCCCAGAGAGGAGGUGGCUGGGGUGUAGGCUUUGGACUGGUUGGUUUGCAUUUGGAAGGCAAGUCCCGAACCAUCUCUAGGAAUUGGUUAGAAUCAAUCUAGGAAUUGGGAAGGGCCAUCUCCCUGGGGUCAGCCAGGCCCCAGAUGUCAGAGCAUCAAAAAUACAGAAAAUAAGUCACUGGGCGCGAUGGC